rnacentral:rRNA from 1 species
UCAUAGUACGUGAACCGUUCAGGGGUAAACGGGAGGGAUCCGGAAGGUCGAACGGGGAGAUUCAAUCCCGUCCGCUUCGUCGGCACCCGGUCCGCGUUUCCGGAUGUCGUCGGCCGCCGGCCACACCGCAAGGUGCGCGCCGUGUUAGGUCGUCGGCACCGGCCGGUCGGGUCGUCUGGCGGCGGCGGGCUGCACUUCUCUCCCGGUAGGACGUCGCGACCCGUUGGACGAACAAGGUGGGGUCUAAGGCCCGGGAUGGAGACCGAGGGGAUCGCCGAGGAAUCUCGGGUCCACGUUCCCCCGGACCCCGGGCCGCCCGGCCCCGGUUCAACGGUAGAAAACAAGAAAAGGGCCCGUUUUUUUUUUUGCAACCGUCCGGCCCGGGGGGCAAGUUCCGCGGGUUCCUCGGGGGCGGGGGGCCGCGGUUAACGCCCCGCCCCCGCCCCCCCGGGGCUGCUGGUCUCCGAAUUCUUCGACAGCUUUCGGCGGUCCUCCCUCCCGCGCCGCUAUGGCUUCGAAUGCUUUCCGAACCCGCCUGGAACCACGAACAGGGGGA